AGAGUUUGAUCCUGGCUCAGGAUGAACGCUAGCUACAGGCCUAACACAUGCAAGUCGAGGGGCAGCAUGGAGCUUGCUUGCAAGCUCUGAUGGCGACCGGCGAAUGGGUGAGUCACGCGUGUCCAACCUGCCCCGCGCCCGGGGAUAGCCCUUGGAAAUGAGGAUUAAGACCCGAUACGUGCGUUGUCCGCAUGGACGCCGCAUGAAACCAGGCACGGGAUGGGGACGCGUCGGAUUAGCUUGACGGCGGGGCAACGGCCCACCGUGGCGACGAUCCGCAGGGGUUCUGAGAGGAAGGUCCCCCACACUGGCACUGAGACACGGGCCAGACUCCUACGGGAGGCAGCAGUGAGGAAUAUUGGUCAAUGGCCGAGAGGCUGAACCAGCCAAGUAGCGUGCAGGAUGACGGCCCUACGGGUUGUAAACUGCUUUUGCGGGAGGAUAAAGUGCGCCACGCGCUGGCGCUUUGCAGGUAUCCCGUGAAUAAGGACCGGCUAAUUCCGUGCCAGCAGCCGCGGUAAUACGGAAGGUCCAGGCGUUAUCCGGAUUUAUUGGGUUUAAAGGGAGCGCAGGCGGGCUGUCAAGCGUGCCGUGAAAUCGCGGGGCUCAACCCCGUUGAGCGGUACGAACUGGCGGUCUUGGUUGCGGGAAGGGGAGGCGGAACUCGUGGUGUAGCGGUGAAAUGCAUAGAUAUCACGAAGAACUCCGAUCGCGAAGGCAACCUCCCGGCCCGUCAACGACGCUCAUGCUCGAAGGCGCGGGUAUCAAACAGGAUUAGAUACCCUGGUAGUCCGCGCAGUAAACGAUGGACACUCGCGGUUUUGGCCCUUGUGGGCUGAGCCGCCCAGCGAAAGCGUUAAGUGUCCCACCUGGGGAGUACGCCGGCAACGGUGAAACUCAAAGGAAUUGACGGGGGGCCCGCACAAGCGGAGGAACAUGUGGUUUAAUUCGAUGAUACGCGAGGAACCUUACCCGGGCUUGAAAUGUGCAUGACGGGAGGCAGAGACGCCUCCUUCCUUCGGGCAUGCAUGUAGGUGCUGCAUGGUUGUCGUCAGCUCGUGCCGUGAGGUGUCGGCUUAAGUGCCAUAACGAGCGCAACCCCUUCCGCCGGUUACCAUCGGGUCAUGCCGGGGACUCCGGCGGCACUGCCGCCGCAAGGCGCGAGGAAGGCGGGGAUGACGUCAAAUCAGCACGGCCCUUACGUCCGGGGCCACACACGUGUUACAAUGGGGGGCACAGCGAGCUGGACCAGGGCGACCUGGUUCGAAUCAUGAAAUCCCCUCCCAGUUCGGACUGGAGUCUGCAACCCGACACCACGAAGCCGGAUUCGCUAGUAAUCGCGCAUCAGCCAUGGCGCGGUGAAUACGUUCCCGGGCCUUGUACACACCGCCCGUCAAGCCAUGAAAGCCUGGGGCGCCUGAAGUCCGUUGCGGCGACGCGCGGCCGAGGGCGAUACAGGUGAUUGGGGCUAAGUCGUAACAAGGUAGCCGUACCGGAAGGUGCGGCUGGAUCACCUCCUUUCU
rnacentral:rRNA from 1 species